rnacentral:rRNA from 1 species
UACGUAGGGUGCGAGCGUUGCCCGGAAUUAUUGGGCGUAAAGAGCUCGUAGGCGGCCUGUCACGUCGGAUGUGAAAGCCCGGGGCUUAACCCCGGGUCUGCAUUCGAUACGGGCAGGCUAGAGUUCGGUAGGGGAGAUCGGAAUUCCUGGUGUAGCGGUGAAAUGCGCAGAUAUCAGGAGGAACACCGGUGGCGAAGGCGGAUCUCUGGGCCGAUACUGACGCUGAGGAGCGAAAGCGUGGGGAGCGAACAGG